rnacentral:rRNA from 1 species
UACGUAGGGUGCAAGCGUUGUCCGGAAUUAUUGGGCGUAAAGAGCUCGUAGGCGGUUUGUUGCGUCGGCUGUGAAAUCCCGAGGCUCAACCUCGGGUCUGCAGUCGAUACGAGCAAACUAGAGUGUUGCAGGGGAGACUGGAAUUCCUGGUGUAGCGGUGAAAUGACGCAGAUAUCAGGAAGAACACCCGUGGCUAAGGCGGUUCUCUAGUACGGUACUGACGCUGGAGACGCGAAAGCGUGGGAGCGAACAGG